AGUGAACGCUGGCGGUAGGCCUAACACAUGCAAGUCGAACGGCAGCACAGUAAGAGCUUGCUCUUACGGGUGGCGAGUGGCGGACGGGUGAGGAAUACAUCGGAAUCUACUUUUUCGUGGGGGAUAACGUAGGGAAACUUACGCUAAUACCGCAUACGACCUACGGGUGAAAGCAGGGGAUCUUCGGACCUUGCGCGAUUGAAUGAGCCGAUGUCGGAUUAGCUAGUUGUCGGGGUAAAGGCCCACCAAGGCGACGAUCCGUAGCUGGUCUGAGAGGAUGAUCAGACACACGGGAACUGAGACACGGUCCAGAGUCCUACGGGAGGAAGAAGUGGGGAAUAUUGGACAAUGGGAGCAAGCCUGAUCCAGCCAUACCGCGUGGGUGAAGAAGGCCUUCGGGUUGUAAAGCCCUUUUGUUGGGAAAGAAAAGCAGCAGGUUAAUACCCCGCUGUUCUGACGGUACCCAAAGAAUAAGCACCGGCUAACUUCGUG
rnacentral:rRNA from 1 species